GGAGUGUUCCUUUGGGAAAAUAAAAAUAAUAAUACAUAAAUGAACAUGUGUUGGUAUCUUGAACCCACAAACAGCUUGAUGGGAGACCUUCUCUUCCCUUACUCUACGUGGAGGAGUUCAAGGCUUAAAAACUUUAGAGUGGAAUGGCAGGAACCCCAUAGAUGCAGGAGUAAGUCUGAACAUGACCCAAAAUAUUUAUGUUAAUAUCUUAUUUGGAAUUUGAAUAAAAAAUUGCCAAUAUUUGUGAAUUUUAUAAUCUGGAGCUUAGUAGUGAAUAAGCCCCAUCAUUUAGUGAAUAACCGACUAUAUUAG